UACGGGGGGGGCAAGCGUUGUUCGGAAUUACUGGGCGUAAAGGGCGCGUAGGCGGGUGCUCAAGUCUGUGGUGAAAUCCUCCGGCUCAACCGGAGAACUGCCAUGGAUACUGGGUGCCUCGAGGGUGGUAGGGGUAUGCGGAACUAUCGGUGGAGCGGUGAAAUGCGUUGAUAUCGAUAGGAACUCCGGUGGCGAAGGCGGCAUACUGGACCACAUCUGACGCUGAGGCGCGAAAGCCAGGGGAGCGAACGGG
rnacentral:rRNA from 1 species